UAAAUCUUUUUAUUCAGAAUUUGAGAUGAAGUACUGAUAUAAUGGAUAAUGGUACGAGUAUUAUUUUUUUCCCACAUGAACAAAGUUAUCGACUAUGAGCUAGCUCCAAGAAUGACGGCGGGGGAUUGUAGAUUAAAAGGUGAUGCUGAUGUGAUCAAAGCCAAUAAAGAAUUGAAGCUGAAUCGGCCAAUCUCCAAUUAAGAAGCACAAAAGUUAGAACCUAUAGAAAAAGUCGAGCUUCUUAACACAACUGGAAAAGCUAACCGUGUGGCUGCGAGUAUUGACUGGCUGGACCUUCAUAGAUAAAAUGUUGGAGCAUCUGGACAAUUGGGAGCAACAUAGAGUGGAAAAUCCAUUCUACUAUGCCAAGACAAUGUGCUGAAAAAAACGUGACGAUUGGAGGGUCGAUUUGGGAACAUGUGCAAAGAAUUAAAGAUAACAAGCCAACUGUAGAUGCCUUCUUGAUGGAGAAAGCCCAGAAAAAGAAGGUGGCCGGGUAAAAGGAACAAGACAUGCUUGUCUUUGUAGUAGCCGCACGCAAUAGUCCUAGCUGCAUUGUCAUCAUCGGAUACCCCUGUUUUCACUUUGAUAGAUGUAUACACGACCCAAAAUAACACAAAUAUGUACUACCUAGCUAUAUACGUAUGAAAAUAACACCCAAGUUGUAUGUAAUUAACCAUAUGACCAUUGACCAGUGAUGAAAGCGAAUUUAUCAACGUUUUAGAAUGGUAAUGACA